rnacentral:RNase_P_RNA from 2 species
GCAGUGAGCCACCCCACCGCCGCGCCCAACGCAAAUGCGGGCGGGGAGGAAAGUCCGGGCCACGCAGGGCGCCCUGCUACCUAACGGGUAGGACUGGCCAAUCGGGCCAGUACAGCCAGUGCCACAGAAAAUAACCGCCGUUAUUUGAGUUAAGAGUUGAGAGUUAAGAGUUAAGAGUUAACGUUCGGUUAAUUCUUAACUCUUAACUCUUAACUCUUAACUCUUAAAAAAGGUAAGGGUGAAAAGGUGCGGUAAGAGCGCACCAGCGGCUGGGUGACCACGCCGGCUGGGUAAACCUCAGGGGUUGCAAGACCAAAUAAGCGAACACGUCGGCGGCUUUCGGGCAGUUGGCACCGGGCGGCCCGUCCGGGUUCGCGGGUAGGUCGCUGGAGCCCGUCGGCGACGACGGGCCUAGAUAAAUGGUGGGGCCGGCCCGGCGGAAACGCGGGGCCGGACAGAACCCGGCUUAUCGGCUCAUUGCGUAA